rnacentral:lncRNA from 1 species
AUGAUCUCCACCACCGGCUCACUGGCACAGCUCUCAUCUUCAUCUUCUUCUGAGGAGAAGGACAAGUUGUCCAUACUUUUGAAGGACAGCUUCUUCUUUGUCUCCUCUUCCUCCUGCCUCUGUUGUCUCUCCAGCUCGGCUCGGGGGACCGCCCAGCCCAGAUUGUCUCCCAUCACUUCCUUUACCUCCUUCUUUUUAACCAUUGGAGGCUUUUUCUCUAUGAUCUCCACCACCGGCUCACUGGCACAGCUCUCAUCUUCAUCUUCUUCUGAGGAGGAGAUUGACUUGUCCAUCUUCUUAGCCUCCUUCUCAAACUCCUGUGUCCAUGUCUGCACAAGAUCUUCAUCUCUUUCUUCCUUCUUUACCUCUUUCUCAAUAUCACUGCCCUCGUCCUCUGAGCUGUCCCACUUCCACGAUUCCUCUUCUUCUUCUCUUCUCUUUUCCUCCUGCUCUGCUUCCUUUUUUUUCUGGAUGGCCUGCAUGCAUCUCUUCACCAGAUCUUCAUCUCUUUCUUCCUUAUUUACCUCUUGCUCAAUGUCACUGCCCUCGUCCUCUGAGCUGUCCCACUUCCACGAUUCCUCUUCUUCUUCUUUCCUCUUUCUCUCUUCAGCCUCUCUCCUUUUCUCCUCCUCCUCUUCUGCUCUCUUUUUCAUACGUAUAGCCAGUUCUUUUUCUCUCUCCUCCUUUUCUUUCCUUUCCUUCUCUCUCUGUUCUUCCUCCUUCCUUUUCUGCUCCUCCAGCCUUUCUUUCCUUGUUCUCCGUUCUUCAGCCUCCUUCCUUCUUUUCUUUUUCUCUUUCUUUGCUCUUUCCUGUUCCAUCCUCACUCUCUCCUCCUCCUCUUCUGCUCUCUUUUUCAUUCGGAUGGCCAGCUCUGUUUCUCUCUCCUCCUUUUCUUUCCUUUCCUUCUCUCUCUGUUCCUUCUUCCUUCUUUUCUGCUCCUCCAGCCUUUCUUUCCUUAUUCUCCGUUCUUCAGCCUCCUUCCAUCUUUUCAUUUCCUCUUUCUUUGUUCUUUCCUGGUCCAUCCUUACUCCUUCCAUCAUCCUCUGCCCCUUUACUUUCUCCUCCUUCAAGCGCUCCUCUGCUCUCAUCCUUCGCUCUCUCUCUUUUCUGAGAGCAUCCUUCAGAUGGUCGUUCUCCACCCUCAAUCUCUCAAGCUCCUUCAGGAUGUCCUCCUCCUCCACCUUCUUUCUCUGCAGCGGAUCUUUCAGUCGUUUUCCACUGAAGAUCCCUUCACCUGCCAUUUGGUCUUCAUCUGCAAGCUUCAUUUGCUGGAGGAUCUUGAGGGUCCUCUGCCUGAUCUCAGGCUCCAUCAUAAGGAGGGUGUAG